GUCCAGACUCCUACGGGAGGCAGCAGUGGGGAAUAUUGCACAAUGGGGGAAACCCUGAUGCAGCGACGCCGCGUGAGUGAAGAAGUAUUUCGGUAUGUAAAGCUCUAUCAGCGGGAAAGAAAAUGACGGUACCUGACUAAGAAGCCCCGGCUAACUACGUGCCAGCAGCCGCGGUAAUACGUAGGGGGCAAGCGUUAUCCGGAUUUACUGGGUGUAAAGGGAGCGUAGGCGGAAAGGCAAGUCAGAAGUGAAAGCCCAAGGCUCAACCAUGGGACUGCUUUUGAAACUGUCAAACUAGAGUACGGGAGAGGUAAGAGGAAUUCCUAGUGUAGCGGUGAAAUGCGUAGAUAUUAGGAGGAACACCAGUGGCGAAGGCGGCUUACUGGACGAUGACUGACGCUGAGGCUCGAAAGCGUGGGGAGCAAACAGGAUUAGAUACCCGGGUA
rnacentral:rRNA from 1 species